AACGAACGCUGGCGGCAGGCUUUACUCAUGCAAGUUGAACGGGAUGAUACCUUCGGGUAUCGGCGAGUAGCGCACGGGUGCGUAACGCGUAGGAAUAUACCAUAUAGUAGAGAAUAACCAUUGGAAACGAUGGCUAAUACUCUAUAGUCCCUUCGGGGUAAAGAUUUAUCGCUAUAUGAUUAGCCUGCGUUAGAUUAGCUAGUUGGUGAGGUAAUUGCUCACCAAGGCUACGAUCUAUAGCUGGUCUGAGAGGAUGAUCAGCCACACUGGAACUGAGACACGGUCCAGACUCCUACGGGAGGCAGCAGUGGGGAAUAUUGGACAAUGGGGGCAACCCUGAUCCAGCCAUGCCGCGUGAAUGAAGAAGGCCUUCGGGUUGUAAAGUUCUUUUAAUAGUGAAGAUAAUGACGGUAACUAUAGAAAAAGCACCGGCUAACUCCG
rnacentral:rRNA from 1 species